AAAACAACAGGGAUUGCCUCAGUAACGGCGGGUGAAGCGGCAACAGCUCAAAUUUGAAAUCUGCCGCAAGGCCGAGUUGUAAUUUGUAGAGGAUGCUUCUGGGCAGCGGCCGGUCUAAGUUCCUUGGAACAGGACGUCAUAGAGGGUGAGAAUCCCGUAUGCGACCGGUUGGCACCCGUCACGUAGCUCCUUCGACGAGUCGAGUUGUUUGGGAAUGCAGCUCUAAAUGGGUGGUAAAUUCCAUCUAAAGCUAAAUACCGGCCAGAGACCGAUAGCGCACAAGUAGAGUGAUCGAAAGAUGAAAAGCACUUUGGAAAGAGAGUUAAAAAGCACGUGAAAUUGUUGAAAGGGAAGCGCAUGCAACCAGACUUGUCGGCGGUGUUCCGCCGGUCUUCUGACCGGUCUACUCGCCGCCGACAGGCCAGCAUCGUGUGGGUGUGCCGGAUAAAGGCGUCGGGAAUGUGGCCCCUCGGGGUGUUAUAGCCCGGCGCAUAAUACGGUGCCGCCCGCGCGAGGUCCGCGCUUCGGCUAGGAUGCUGGCGUAAUGGUCGUAUGCGGCCCGUCUUGAAACACGGACCAAGGAGUCUAACAUCUGUGCGAGUGUUCGGGUGUCAAACCCCUACGCGGAAUGAAAGUGAACGGAGGUGGGAGCUUCGGCGCACCAUCGACCGAUCCUGAUGUCCUCGGAUGGAUUUGAGUAAGAGCAUAGCUGUUGGGACCCGAAAGAUGGUGAACUAUGCCUGAAUAGGGUGAAGCCAGAGGAAACUCUGGUGGAGGCUCGCAGCGGUUCUGACGUGCAAAUCGAUCGUCAAAUUUGGGUAUAGGGGCGAAAGACUAAUCGAACCAUCUAGUAGCUGGUUCCUGCCGAAGUUUCCCUCAGGAUAGCAGUAGCGUUUUCAGUUUUAUGA
rnacentral:rRNA from 1 species